GAUGAACGCUGGCGGCGUGCCUAAUACAUGCAAGUCGAGCGAACAGACGAGGAGCUUGCUCCUCUGACGUUAGCGGCGGACGGGUGAGUAACACGUGGAUAACCUACCUAUAAGACUGGGAUAACUUCGGGAAACCGGAGCUAAUACCGGAUAAUAUAUUGAACCGCAUGGUUCAAUAGUGAAAGACGGUUUUGCUGUCACUUAUAGAUGGAUCCGCGCCGCAUUAGCUAGUUGGUAAGGUAACGGCUUACCAAGGCAACGAUGCGUAGCCGACCUGAGAGGGGGGGAGGCAGCAGUGGAACGGAGACAGGGUCCAGAGACCUACGGGAAGCAGCAGAGGGGAAUGUGACGCAAGGGGCGGAAACCUGAGAGAGCAACGGCGCGGGAGUGAAAAAGGUCUUCGGAUCGUAAAACUCUGUGAGGAGGGAAGAACAAAUGUGAAAGUAACAGUGCGCGUCUUGACGGUACCUAAUGAGAAAGCAACGGCUAACUAAGUG
rnacentral:rRNA from 1 species